rnacentral:RNase_P_RNA from 1 species
AAAGCCUGCCAGACCGCCGCUGGUGCAAGCGUGGAAACACAGCACCAGAGGAACGUCCGGACUGCACAGGGCAGCGCAGGAGGUAACACCUCUCCACCGCAAGGUGCGGAUCAGAGCAACAGAGACGAGCCGGUUCAGUCCGGGUGAAACGGGCAAUCUCUGCGCGCAGCAAUGCCAAAUAGGCCAGCGAUGACGUGGCUCCGCGGAGCUGGCGGGUAGGCAGCACCGAGCCGGAAGGCGACUUCCGGCCCAGAGGAAUGGCGGUCACGCGGCGGGCAACCGCCGUGCACAGAAUCCGGCGUACCGGCAGGCUUUACAU